UUGGAGGGCAAGUCUGGUGCCAGCAGCCGCGGUAAUUCCAGCUCCAAUAGCGUAUAUUAAAGUUGUUGCAGUUAAAAAGCUCGUAGUUGAAUUUCGGGGUCAGUAGGUCGGUCAUGCCACUGGUAUGUACUGGUCUCACUGAUUCCUCCUUCCUGAUGAACUGUAAUGCCAUUAAUUUGGUGUUGCAGGGAAUCUGGACUGUUACUUUGAAAAAAUUAGAGUGUUUAAAGCAGGCUAACGCCUGAAUACAUUAGCAUGGAAUAAUGAAAUAGGACGUUCGAUCCUAUUUUGUUGGUUUCUAGGAUUGACGUAAUGAUUAAUAGGGAUAGUUGGGGGCAUUAGUAUUCAAUUGUCAGAGGUGAAAUUCUUGGAUUUAUUGAAGACUAACUACUGCGAAAGCAUUUGCCAAGGAUGUUUUCAUUAAUCAAGAACGAAAGUUAGGGGAUCGAAGACGAUCAGAUACCGUCGUAGUCUUAACCAUAAACUAUGCCGACUAGGGAUCGGAUGAUGUUAAUUUUAUAAUGACUCAUUCGGCGCCUUACGGGAAACCAAAGUGUUUGGGUUC
rnacentral:rRNA from 1 species